rnacentral:rRNA from 1 species
GACGAACCGUGCGAACGUUAUUCGGAAUCACUGGGCUUAAAGGGCGCGUAGGCGGGUUGGUAAGUCCGUGGUGAAAUCUCCGAGCUUAACUCGGAAACUGCCGUGGAUACUAUCAAUCUUGAAUAUCGUGGAGGUAAGCGGAAUAUGUCAUGUAGCGGUGAAAUGCUUAGAUAUGACAUAGAACACCAAUUGCGUAGGCAGCUUACUACACGAUCAUUGACGCUGAGGCACGAAAGCGUGGGGAGGAAACAGG